CAUGCGCGCCGGCCCCGGCCAUGGAUCCCUACAAGCACCGGCCCACGAGCGGGGCCAACUCCGCCUACUGGACCACCAACUCCGGCGCCCCCGUCUGGAACAA